UUUUUAAAUCCGACAUUUUUUCAGAUUUCUAAAUUUCUUUCACAGUUCUGUCUUUUAAAGGUUUAUAAAACUUUUUUUUGUAUUGACUUUUUCUGGGAUUCUUUUGACUUUAAUGCCAAUUUUAGACUUUUUUAUAAUUCAAUUUUUUUUAAAGACCUCAAUUUUUUUUAAAAGUUUGACUCUAACCUUCUAACCUAGAAAUCCACAAAUGUACGGAAGUCCUGCAGGAAUUAUUUCAACAUUGAUUCAACAGUCCUACAGACACUGUUUUGCAAAAGCAGUGAUUUCAAGGCUCCGUCUGUCGCCUCCACCUUUUGCAAUAUAUAAGCGAAAAGUCCACGUCUUUUCCGCUCCGAGGUGUCUCUCUUUUAACUGUCUCUCCGAUCAAAGUCAAGGUUUAUGUUACGUUUACAAUAAGCUACAAAUGUGAACUUGAUGCUAAGCUGUGCUGCUGCAGCGAAGCACAAACUACAACACUCAGAAGCAGAUCAUGCAACUUCUUACAACAGAUAACUACUUACCCAGGGACACAUCUGUAAGUCAGCAUCCUUUCCUCACAUCUUCUCCCGUCCUUCCAACACCUCAAUUUACAAUCCAAUAUUUAUUUCACUCUGUCCUCUUAGUAUGCACCUACUUCCCUUUCCUCACAGGAACCUACCCCAGCUCAUUCUAGCAAUCUUUUGUGGACAUGGUCGACAAUCCCUGCAGGAAUAUGUCCACAUGUGGAAUGUAAAAUACUGAAAUUGUACGAUUAAAGACACUGUGUGAAGAUCCACACUCAUGUUGUUUUUGAUGUUGUUGAUGUUGCUUUCGUUGUGCACCAAGUGUUCGUUGUUGCGCUUAAAUCUAAGGUUGAAAGCAAGCGGGGUAAAACCUCCAUCGUGUGAAAGAGUGCUACUGAAAUGUCCUUUUUAUUCUUUGAUAUGGUGUGUUUAUAAAUGACCUGUGGUGUGAGGAAUUGAAAACCUCUGAAGCAAGAGAUGAAGUGACUUUGUUUUGGAUUGAGAAAAAAAAUCUUUUUUUAUGAUUAUUCUUUUAAUGUCGUUAUCAAUUUGCAUCUGAGUUUCUUGGUAAGUGAAUGUCUGUCUAUCUGUGUUGAUGCUUUACUGUGAUAAAAUGGCUGUAUAUGCACUUUCAGACCAUCAUUGGUGCAGUAUCUAGUGCUCAUACGUCACCUUAGGGCCAGGGUUCACAUCACCUUCAGUUCAGCUGAAAAUACAUCUGCAUGAAAAACAGCCUGCUAUUCAAUUUCUGGGACAUGUGAUCGGAUUUAGCAUUUAAAAAAGUGUUAGUUGCCUUAUUCUGUUUUUAUAAUCUGUGAUGAAAUGUGUUAAACAUCUGUAAUAACAUUAUGAAAUUCAUUUAAAGGAGUAGGCCCAUUGGUUCAGUACUAUAUCUGAUGAGAGUUUUAGCAUCAGAGCUAGCUUUGUGCAUUAUGGUUUGGACCCAUACUGUUGAAUUUUCAGAAAAACACAUUUUCAAGUUUUUUAGCUAACAUUUAGGUUUUCCCGCCUUUUUUGUUAGCUUCCACCACGGCUAAAUAUGCUAGCCUGAACAGUGUAAACAUCUUUUUUUUAGACCGUAAUAUGAUCUUAACGGCUCAAAUGUCAUUAAAGAUCUCCAAGAUACAAGAUUUUUCUUAAAUCUACCUCAUAUUAGCUAUUAGAUGAUCAGCAGCUAACGGUUAUCUCGCUAACUAGCCACUAAUAUUCCUUAUAAACGUGUUAUAGCUAAACAGAAUAAAAUGAACACACUUAAAGCCAAGCAUUCUGAAGGUGAAUGUAUUUGGGACAAUGAUUAGCUGCAGGCAAUCACACAACACUUGUCUUGAAUCUAGCUCAAAUCAGCUAUUAGAAGGAGCCGCAGCUAACGGCUAACUCGCUAACUAGCUGCUAAUAUUCCUUAAAAAUGUGUAAUAUGUAAACAGAACAAAUUACACUUAAUGUAACAUCAGAUUCAGUGUGCAUUACUUUUGGAUUAUGAUUAGCUGUAGCUAAAUUAGGAUCUGUACUCGUACGUACAAGCAAUUAGCAUUUCAACAAACAAGAUUUCUCCAAAAAGUCAUCUUGUUGAAGGUUUUAUUCAUCUAAAGCACAAUUUGUUCACUCUCUUAGACUAAUGCUAGUCACAUAUAUGUCUAAAUAUUGAUUCCCAAACCCUUAUAGCAUGCACACCGCUCUAAUACCUGCCUGUUAUUACUCUCAUAUCAGUGAAUCAAUGGGCCAACUAUUGCAAACCUGACAGAACAAAACAAUUUCAAUUAAUGCUUUUUUACAAUUAAUACAUUUUCUUGGGGACUGUAUGAACAUAUUGGUAUAGGUUAUGCUCCAUGUCCUGCAGACGUUACACAACAACAUAUUUUGUUGAACUAAAUACUUUGACAAUUAAUACCUUUGUUAGGGUUAGGGUUAGACACAUUAUUGACAUUUGGAGGGGAGUUGAACCUUGUGUUUUACUUAAAGAAAAACUAAGAAAGCAUCAAAAUAGUUAUUGUACCUUAACCCAAAGAUCUCAAAAGCAUUACCAAUUUCAAAUGUGAAAGAAAACUUGGACUACCAGCAAAAAAAAGGAAGAUUACGUAACGCUUCCUCGUUUCUGACCACCACAAAUCACUUUCAUACAGUCCCUCACCGCUUGUUAUGGAUGAAUACAGUAUUUUUGUACUUCUACUAUCAUUAAUAGUUUAUUAUUUUGGGGAAAGUGUUUUGUAAGUUUGUUGUAAAUGAAAUUUUUGCCAAAUCUAAUAUUAUAAUUAGUUGAACUGAGAGUGAAUGAACCUGAAUCCUGCUUUCCAACGUUGCUUGGGCUGUAUCACUAUUUGCUCUCACUCUUCUGAUCUGUGUCAAAAAAACACAAAAAACAACAAAAACAACAUAAAAUACGUCCUUUUUAGCCUUUAGAUUGCUCACAAAUCUGACUUUAGACCAGGGCUCAUCUUGCAAUGUACAAAUCUGCCGUGUAUUAAUCUCAAUGUCGUGAUAAGAAUAUUGCUUGGGGAUAAAAAAAGAGUUAAGUAACGUAAAGAAAAUCACAAAAUACAAACCAAAAAAAUAGAUUUAUACAACAAUUCAUACCUCAUUGUACUGCUUUGUGCCAGAUUAAAGGAGGGGGAGCGAUCAGCCUCAAGCAAAGAAUCAACAGUGGUUGGAAAAAAAAGGAAGCGGACCCAACAGGGGUCUCGGGAACAUAAAAACCUGGCCCCAAAUUAGUUUGACUAAAAUGGGGUAUAUUUGUCAGGAUGAUUGGAAAUGAAAAUGUGUUAUAGGAGGAGGUGAACCUGUGGGAAAAGAAAUGCUUAAUGAUAUGUUGUAGACAUUCUCUUUUGAAAAUGACUGCACUUACUUUGUUAUGUCUAUAAGAAAUUGAUAGCAUGAAAUAUGAAGCCAUGCGUUGCGUACUUAUCAAAAAGCUCUGCCUGUUCUGCCCUGACAAACCAAGAGAGGACGCUUCACAAGACUUAGGGUGCAUCGAGUAAUUUGGACAUUUUUAGGUGACCGUUUUAAACAAUAGAGCGGUGCAGGAAUGAGUCCUGAAACCGGGGGAUGGGUUAGCAUUUUAGCACUGUCCCCUGGUCUGGAGGUCAAUGGUCUUCUGAUUGUGAUUUUGGUUGUUAGCCUGAAAAAAGUUCUCUGGUUAACACAAGUUGAAAACAAACGCUUUGUUCUACGACAUGUCAGUGAAAACAUAUUUAACAUUGGCAAAAGAAAGUUGGCCAUUUCGCCUUUAGCUUAGCAAAGCAGUUCCUUUAUAGCCUGGCUUUAGCUCUAGAGCCUAAAAGUGGUGUUUUCUGCUAUAUUUAAAAAAUCCAAUGGGAAAAUCCAAUUGCUUUUAGUCCAUAGGGGGCGCUCUUGCAAUGCUGACUUUAAAAAUAGUUCAUUCCUGUAUCACUCUAUUGCAAAGAAAAUAAAAAAAAAGUGUUCUCUCCCCUCAAAGAGCUUUGAAGACAGGUGUGAUCUUCUUCGAAUCUGAAGUGCAAAUAUGCAACGACACAGACAUAGAUUGUGCCUUGUACGAGAUUUAGGUUUAGUUCCCAAACAGUUUCCCCCGUGAUGAACAUGUCCUCUCUUGUGCUCUUCUUCACAGUGACUUUAUGCAGCGGCACUUAGACCCUAAUUAUCUGAGAGAAUGGCAGCAGCCAUCGUCGAAUGGCACGGCACAGUGUUGAAUGUAAAUCUGAAUGAGGUGGAAGCACGGGGUGUUUUAUAAAGCUGGUCGUGGGUUUGUAAUGGGCACGGUCGGUGUUUGUCUUGUUUCCUGUGACAAAUCAUUCAUGGCCCAAUCUCAAAGGCUCAAAGCUGUUUGUGUUUGUGACAUUCAUUUAAAACAUUAUACAAUUAUUUGAUAUCAAA